rnacentral:sRNA from 1 species
GGCCUAGGUCCUCAGGGGUGUGGGGAGCUGGGUUUACAGAGGGGCCCAUCCUCUCUGCCCCAGUUGGCCUCUGACUUCUUCUCCCAUCAGAUCUCAGAGCUGCAGCCUUCUCUGCCCCCAGGGUCCCUGCAGCCCCUCCUCAGCUGCUCGCUAGAUGCACCCAGAUGGGAAGCGUUGGAGUCUCUGUCCCAAAGCCUCAGAGAUCAGUACCGCUGCCGCCGCUGCCUCCUCCUCAAGCGCCUUGACCUCACUACAUCUGCUUUCCACUGGAGUGACCGGGCAGAGGUGUGGUGGGCAGGGGACCGUGCAGAAUUGGAGAGGCCCAGUUGUGGGGGCUGCAGUUGCAGGGAGGAGGAAUGAGGGCCAGGAGUAUCACCCUCUUGCAGGUUCUCAGGCCGUGGACAUUUUAUAAUUUUUUGAGGUUUGGGGCUCCUAGAAUCUCAGGGUCCCAGGGUAUUGUUGAAUUCCCAGCUCUGAGCUGGGAGUAUAUUCAGAGGCAUACCCCAUCAUUUUUUUUUUUUGAGAUGGGGUCUCGCUCUGUUGCCAGGCUGGAG